rnacentral:rRNA from 1 species
AUUGAACGCUGGCGGCAGGCCUAACACAUGCAAGUCGAGCGGUAGAGAGAAGCUUGCUUCUCUUGAGAGCGGCGGACGGGUGAGUAAUGCCUAGGAAUCUGCCUGAUAGUGGGGGAUAACGUCCGGAAACGGACGCUAAUACCGCAUACGUCCUACGGGAGAAAGUGGGGGCUCUUCGGACCUCACGCUAUCAGAUGAGCCUAGGUCGGAUUAGCUAGUUGGUGGGGUAAAGGCUCACCAAGUCGACGAUCCGUAACUGGUCUGAGAGGAUGAUCAGUCACACUGGAACUGAGACACGGUCCAGACUCCUACGGGAGGCAGCAGUGGGGAAUAUUGGACAAUGGGCGAAAGCCUGAUCCAGCCAUGCCGCGUGUGUGAAGAAGGUCUUCGGAUUGUAAAGCACUUUAAGUUGGGAGGAAGGGUCGUUACCUAAUACGUGGCGAUUUUGACGUUACCGACAGAAUAAGCACCGGCUAACUCUGUGCCAGCCGCCGCCGUAACAC